rnacentral:rRNA from 1 species
AUUUUGGACAAUGGGGGCAACCCUGAUCCAGCCAUGCCGCGUGUGUGAAGAAGGCCUUCGGGUUGUAAAGCACUUUUGUUCGGAACGAAACGGUGAGAGCUAAUACCUUUCACUAAUGACGGUACCGGAAGAAUAAGCACCGGCUACCUACGUGCCAGCAGCCGCGGUAAUACGUAGGGUGCAAGCGUUAAUCGGAAUUACUGGGCGUAAAGCGUGCGCAGGCGGUUUUGUAAGUCAGAUGUGAAAUCCCCGGGCUUAACCUGGGAACUGCAUUUGAAACUGCAAGGCUAGAGUGUGUCAGAGGGGGGUAGAAUUCCACGUGUAGCAGUGAAAUGCGUAGAGAUGUGGAGGAAUACCGAUGGCGAAGGCAGCCCCCUGGGAUAACACUGACGCUCAUGCACGAAAGCGUGGGGAGCAAACAGG